GACGAACGCUGGCGGCGUGCCUAAUACAUGCAAGUUGAGCGAUGAAGAUUGGUGCUUGCACCAAUUUGAAGAGCAGCGAACGGGUGAGUAACGCGUGGGGAAUCUGCCUUUGAGCGGGGGACAACAUUUGGAAACGAAUGCUAAUACCGCAUAACAACUUUAAACAUAAGUUUUAAGUUUGAAAGAUGCAAUUGCAUCACUCAAAGAUGAUCCCGCGUUGUAUUAGCUAGUUGGUGAGGUAAAGGCUCACCAAGGCGAUGAUACAUAGCCGACCUGAGAAGGUGAUCGGCCACAUUGGGACUGAGACACGGCCCAAACUCCUACGGGAGGCAGCAGUAGGGAAUCUUCGGCAAGGGACGAAAGUCUGGCCGAGCAACGCCGCGUGAGUGAAGAAGGUUGUCGGAUCGUAAAACUCUGUUGGUAGAGAAGAACGUUGGUGAGAGUGGAAAGCUCAUCAAGUGACGGUAACUACCCAGAAAGGGACGGCUAACUACGUG
rnacentral:rRNA from 1 species